rnacentral:rRNA from 1 species
GACGAACGCUGGCGGCGUGCCUAAUACAUGCAAGUAGAACGCUGAAGGAGGAGCUUGCUUCUCUGGAUGAGUUGCGAACGGGUGAGUAACGCGUAGGUAACCUGCCUGGUAGCGGGGGAUAACUAUUGGAAACGAUAGCUAAUACCGCAUAAUAGUAGAUGUUGCAUGACAUUUACUUAAAAGGUGCAAUUGCAUCACUACCAGAUGGACCUGCGUUGUAUUAGCUAGUUGGUGGGGUAACGGCUCACCAAGGCGACGAUACAUAGCCGACCUGAGAGGGUGAUCGGCCACCCUGGGACUGAGACACGGCCCAGACUCCUACGGGAGGCAGCAGUAGGGAAUCUUCGGCAAUGGACGAAAGUCUGACCGAGCAACGCCGCGUGAGUGAAGAAGGGUUUCGGAUCGUAAAGCUCUGUUGUAAGAGAAGAACGAGUGUGAGAGUGGAAAGUUCACACUGUGACGGUAUCUUACCAGAAAGGGACGGCUAACUACGUG